rnacentral:tRNA from 1 species
UGGUCCCAUAGCAUAACAGGAUAGUGCGUCCGCCUCCUAAGCGGCUGAUCUCGGUUCAAAUCCGAGUGGGACCAU